CGAUUUAUGAGUUUUUUUUUUGGUGAAUUGUUCUGUAGCUUAGUUAUGUUUUUUAGUUUUUCACUUUCUACUCCUCACUCCACUUUCACGAACUGAGCAAGUCUCCAUGAAACCCCCACCACUCAAACGCCUACGGUGACCCAUCCAUCACGCCCAGUCCGUGCAAAUAUGCCUUCCGUCGUUCGCUCAUCACACCAGAUCUGUCAUUCUUUUGCUCCGUCGUUCAUCCUUUAUUUGAUCUGUUCGCCGUGUUUGGAUCUAUCCAUCAAGUGACGUAGCACCCAGCGCUCACACACACCUUCAACUUCCAGCCAUUCUUUCAAUAAUCGACAGCAGGUUAUUUUUUUCUUUUCUUUUCUUGCAUUUUAGAAUUUUUGUUUUGUUAUUGCAAUUAAUUUUAACAAUUAGUUAAUGGGUGUUGCAUAAUUGGUUUCUUCAUAUAAUGUAAUCCCACUUGUGUUGUGUAAUUUGUGUAUUUUCUUUUUGGGCAUUUAGUUGGUUGUAUUGUGCCGAACACGGGAAAAUUCCAAGUUUUACUAGUACUAUAAGGUGUUUGAUGAAAUGCUUGUAAGAAUACUCUUGUACCUUAUUUGGAGUUUUAUGAACAAACACUUCUUUAAUCCAUAUUGGGUAACAUGUUGAUAUUUGAAGUUCAAAGCGGUCGAAUCUCAUGUAUACACAUAUGGUGUUUUAACUAUAAUUUGAAUGUCAAUUUUAAUUAUCUAA